UACGGAGGGUGCGAGCGUUGUCCGGAAUCAUUGGGCGUAAAGGGCGCGUAGGUGGCGGGACAAGCGUGCGGUGAAAGCUCGGGGCUCAACCCCGAGUCGGCCGUGCGAACUGUUUUGCUUGAGCACUGUAGAGGCAGGCGGAAUUCCGGGGUGUAGCGGUGGAAUGCGUAGAGAUCCGGAAGAACACCGGUGGCGAAGGCGGCCUGCUGGGCAGGUAGC
rnacentral:rRNA from 1 species